UGCUGCUUCGCUGACUAGUGGCGGACGGGUGAGUAAUGUCUGGGAAACUGCCUGAUGGAGGGGGAUAACUACUGGAAACGGUAGCUAAUACCGCAUAACGUCGCAAGACCAAAGAGGGGGACCUUCGGGCCUCUUGCCAUCGGAUGUGCCCAGAUGGGAUUAGCUAGUAGGUGGGGUAACGGCUCACCUAGGCGACGAUCCCUAGCUGGUCUGAGAGGAUGACCAGCCACACUGGAACUGAGACACGGUCCAGACUCCUACGGGAGGCAGCAGUGGGGAAUAUUGCACAAUGGGCGCAAGCCUGAUGCAGCCAUGCCGCGUGUAUGAAGAAGGCCUUCGGGUUGUAAAGUACUUUCAGCGGGGAGGAAGGCGAUAAGGUUAAUAACCUUGUCGAUUGACGUUACCCGCAGAAGAAGCACCGGCUAACUCCGUGCCAGCAGCCGCGGUAAUACGGAGGGUGCAAGCGUUAAUCGGAAUUACUGGGCGUAAAGCGCACGCAGGCGGUCUGUCAAGUCGGAUGUGAAAUCCCCGGGCUCAACCUGGGAACUGCAUUCNAAACUGGCAGGCUAGAGUCUUGUAGAGGGGGGU
rnacentral:rRNA from 1 species